rnacentral:rRNA from 1 species
AUGGCGACGAAUUGUCCCGACGAGAACGACGGCGUGGCCGGCCAUCCCGGCGCUCCACCACCACCACCGGCACAGCCCACCCCGGCGCCGGACCCCAACUCCUUGCCGUCGACGCCGCAGCAGUCGUCCCCGUCCUUUUUCUUGCCACCGCCGUGUAAUUAUCCGUCGCAACCAGAUGAAUGGUCGAACAUCUCUGCGCUCGACAACGAUGACGCCAUCAAUGCUAGCGUUUUCAGCUAUAUCGAUUAUCUUAACCCCUCACUGCCGCCUCUGUUGGACGACACCCCGUUUGCACCCUUCGUGCAGCCGGCGAUGCCUCCGCCGUCGCAACAGCUGCAUCGUUAUCCAUCGCAACCAGAUGAAGAGUCGAGCAUCCCUGCGCUCGGCAACAACGACGCCAUGAAUGCCAGCCUUUUCGGCGACUCUUAUUUUAACGCCUCCUCACUGCCGCCGUUGAGCGCCACCCCGCUAGCACCCUCCGUGCAGCCAGCGACGCAACUGCCGCACUACAUCCAGCAGCUACCAGCCAUGGCGACCAUGGGAGAAACUCAGUACUGCUACUCCGAAGCCGCUCCAGAGCACGCCGUACUCCCGGACGCGCCACCACCGCCGGCAGCUGAAACCACCAAGCCGGCCGGAGGGCGGCGCCGCGGCCGGCCUCGUGGCAGCACCGCAAAGUCCAAGCCCAAGUCGAAGGUCGCCAACACCGCCGCUGCAGCUGGGCGCCGGCAGCAAGAAGCUGCUACCGCGUCUGCCAUCAUCGCCCGGCAGGAAACCGUGGGCGCCGGCAGCGCGGAGGUGGAGGAGGAGCAAAAGGUGGUGGAAUACGCGGACACGAACAUCCCGGGCGUCCGGUUCAAGCCGACGGACGCGGAGAUCAUCUGGUACCUGGAGAGGAAGUACCACGGCCACCCGUUGCCCGUCAACUUCAUCAAGGAGUUCGACGUCUUCGAGGACCAUCCCGACACGGUCCAAGAGAAGUACGGGGAGUGCCAGGAAGGGGUAUGGUACGUGUUCUCAUCCAGGGACCGGAAAUACAAGAACGGCACCCGGCCAGUUCGGUCCGUCGGGACGGUGGGCUUCUGGAAAUCCAGCGGCAAAGAGGAAGAUGUACUAGACAAGAAUAAUGUCAAGAUCGGGAGAGUGAACACUCUCACAUUCAAGCUCGGCCACCAGCCAAAGGGGACGUCCACCCCCUGGAGGUUGAAGGAGUACCGCAUGGAGAAGUACCAGGAAGACCCUAAUCCCUCCUCCAUGCUGCUUGACCCGUGGGUGAUCUGCAAAUUGUUCCGUACCAAAAAUCCACCAGCACGCCAGCAUGAUUUGCCUGUUCAGUCGGGAGAUCAAACAGAUGAGGGUGAUGAACACGCCAGCGAGGCAAAUGGCCGCGGAGGCGAAGACGGGAAUCAGCCGCCGAAUGGCCCUGAACCAGAGCUGGGCAUGGAAAACUGCUACUUCUCACUUGAUGACUUUACACAUGGAGAUCCCAAAGAUCAAUGA